AUGAUUUUUUGGUUUAACAUUUGGCUACAAAGGUGGAGGUAGAAACCCAAUGUUAUGCAUGUCUCCAGCAAGUGAAGGUCUCUAAAGUGACUUCCAAUAUCGAUGGGAAUGUGUUGGGAAUAUGUUGUUUUCUUGGUUUUCAGUUUUUCUAGCUAAUGUUUAACGAUGUAAGUUGUCCUCCGACCAAGUGACUGGCGAAAAAAACGUUCAGUCUUUGAAGAUUUAUUUCCAAACGUUGUGCGCUUGAGCACAGUCCUUAGAAAUCACACCUCACGAGCAACGCCGAGCAACCGCUUCAUCAAGGCUUGGAAUUGACUCCUAAGGACCGCUUGAGUGCUCAAAGUUUCUUUCUUUAAAAAUGUUUAGCUAACGUUAGCUACCGUUACUUUUAUUUUGGUGUUCUGCAAUAGCUCUAAUUUGCCAAUGUCGAGGUAUAAACGGUACCUCUGGGACCAUAGUGUCUAAGUCAACUAUAAGAUAUCGAUGAAGCGAUGUAAAUAACGUUAGCUAGUUAGCUUGCCUAACCUUAGCCUCUAAUAUCUCUGAAUAAAAUGAUUAUUUGUUGUAGAAGAACUGCACGGAUGCUCAAUUGAACUUGGACCAGUAUGAUGUGGAUGAAAAUAGCCAGGAAACAUUAGACCCACUAGGGGAACCUUGUGAAUGCCCAACUAAACUUGGACCAUGAUGAAGGAAUAAAACGUGAGAAGCAGGGGAACAUCAGGAAUACUGGACUAGACUAGGACCACGAUGAAGACAUGGAUGAUGAUGGCCAGGCAACAUUUGAAGAUGAAGACCCCUCAGACGAAAGAGAGCAAGAGGCAUAUGGAAGACCGCUCUUUGACAGAUCAAGCCUUACUGAGAACGAUCGCCUUACGGCAAGGAUAGCUGUGCUGCAAGCCCAGCUUCAGACGCGAUCGUUAGGCAAGGGUAAUUUCAGUGUAGGAAAGGAUGAAACAGCGUCUGUGCCACCAGACCUAAGCCCUAGGACCAUGCCUCAGGACUACCUGGUAUGAUGACUCCUUGCUGUCCCCAGUCCACCUGGCCGUGCUGCUGCUCCAGUUUCAACUGUUCUGCCUGCGGCUAUGGAACCCUGACCUGUUCACCGGACGUGCUUGUUGCACCCUCGACAACUACUAUGAUUAUUAUUAUUUGACCAUGCUGGUCAUUUAUGAACAUUUUAACAUCUUGACCAUGUUCUGUUAUAAUAUCCAC
rnacentral:lncRNA from 1 species